CACCUGGCCUUCUGCAGUCUAGACUCCUCUGAGGAGAGAUUUACUUCAUUUUCACCUAUUCUAAAAUACUCAAAUGUUCUACCUUUAAUGGCCAAAAAUAUGUUCUAAUUAUUUCUCGAGUGUGCCUUCACAGCUUGAGGAUUUCAGUGCUAAUGCUUGAAGGCUUAACCUUACAUGAGAUAAAGCAGCAUUUUAUCGUGACGCUCCUGGCAUCUCUGGCCCGCUCUUUGGAAACAGAACUUGAGGAAACUUGCUGGAACUUCACACAGGAUCACAGACCCAAUGGGAGCCUGAAGAACCAUGCUUAGAAGUGGACAUGAACCAAGACAUUUCUACAGAACUAGGAAGCAUGAAGCACUGUAACAGUCUGGGCAGAAAAGUAUGGCCAGGAUCCCACUACUGGAUUGAAUGUCCCUCAGUCAUUUCUUCAGUCUUAGGAUGGAGCAGCCCACAGACUUCUCAUCAGAAACUAUGCAGUCUAGAAGAUAAAGGAAUAAUCUCUACGUUGCUGAAAGAGAAAAAAAACAGCAUCAAUCAAUUAAUCUUUAUCUAGCAAAAAUAUUGCUCAAAAAUGAAGAUAAAAUAGCCUUUUUCAGGCAGCCAAAAGCAGAGCAAAUUUGUGUCCUGAAGACCUGCACCAUCAAAAGUGUCAAAGGAAGCAGUAACAAAAGGAAAAUGCUACCAGAUGGAAACCUGGACAUACAAGAGGGAGUAAAGAUUAUUGGAAAUGUGUGAGUGCGGCCAUGAAGAAAAACAGUACCUACUAGAACAAUUUGAUGCUACUGCCUGUCAUGCUAGGGCACUAGCAGUUUUACCCGCCUUUGCUUUUGCACCAUAAAUGGAAAUAUCAACAGAGUGAAAAAGGUGAAUGCAAUUUUGAUCUCAUGGAGUUCCUGAGAGGGACCCUCGGAGACUGCAGGGUCCACACAUCAUACUUUAUGAGUUGCUGGUGAAGACAGAGAGAAGAGCAUCAAGCCUCAGGGUAUUUCAGCCUUUAGAGGUUGGGUUGAGGAGAAGGACCCACCAAAGGAAAGUG
rnacentral:lncRNA from 1 species